rnacentral:lncRNA from 1 species
AUGCGCAGGCCUAGGAGUGGGGCUGGCGUCCCGGGCGACCAGUGUGUUGUUGUUGGGUCUUAAUUCUAAAUUUGUCAGUGGCUCUCCUUGAAAUUGCUAAGUAGACAGUUGUAUAAUCCGUGACUAUUGACAUUUGCUUUCUUCUUUGGAACAUUUAAAUUUUAUUCUGUGAACUAGAACCUGAUAGUGGGCAUUCUGAGUUGUUUUUGACUAAGUGUGUAAAUGGAACCUCCAAAUAAGAUUAAAUUGAAGAGAAAGCAUUAAAGGGCAGUAUUCCAGUGGAAUCCAUGAACAGUUUGGGCUGCCACACUCAUCUAGGGGCUGCAUCUACUAAUUGAUAUUUCAUCAUGCUAAGAAACACUUCUCAUGCCUGCAACACCUAGUAUCUAUUUCCGGUCUUGCUCUGUUGCCCAGUGUUGCCCAGGCUGGAGUACAGUGGCACCGUCACAGCUCACUGAAGCCCCGACCUCCUGUGCUCAAUCAAUCCGCUUGCUUCAGCUUCCCGAGUAAACGGUACUACAGAGACAAAGCCUCACUAUGUUGCCCAAGCUGGUCUCAAAUUCCUGGACUUGGGCGAUCCUCUGCCUCAGCCUUCCAAAAUGCUGGAAUUACAGGUGAGCCACCAUGCCCAGCCCUUAACGUCUUUAAACUGUCAUUUUCUCAUUUGUUGAAUGAAUAUCACAAUAGUACCCACCUCAUAGGGUAGUUCUGGGGAUUAAAUAAAAUAUUUAGUUAAAAUCUUGGCACAUUGUAAGCACUCCAUAAGUGUUACCUACUUUUGGUAUUAUCAUUGUUGUUAUAACGAUUAUUAUUAUUGGCGUAUAGGUUGGCAAUAGAAAAUUAUAACCCUCAUGCUUAAUUCAGCCCUAAUUAGAAAUUAUAACUGAAUCUAGCAGCUGCGAGCGGCAGCAGUUUAAUGAAGAACGAGUUGUCAUAAAAUUUAAAUUAUAUCUAUCCAUAGCUAGUUUCUAUUUGUAAUUGAGUUUUUUCCAAGUUUGUUUGUUACAAAUGGAAAAGAGCUUUGCUGUAAUCAUAAGAGAUUUGAUUUAACAGUUCUAAAGCCCGCUGACCUGAUUGUGGAGGUUCUGACUUUAAAUAUGUAAAGCAGCCUGUGUGCUUGCCAUCCUUGUUUGUUGCUUAAAAAAAAUUAUAUUUUCUUAUUAUGUUGGUUAAGGAAAAUUAUAUUUGUUAGAAUAUGUUUGUUGUAGAAAUUAAACUUACCCAUCAAGCCUUAUGCUGUACACCCCAGCACUCCAACCAUUAACUUGCUAUCCGCAGUUUUUGAUUUGCAUCUGUGACUUCACUAGAAUCUUAGUGGCCUUUGUCUCUACCAGUGUAUUUGUAAUAAACUAAAUUAUCCUCAGAGACUUAAUUGGUAACAUAAGUGCAAGACUUUGCCUCUGAAAAUACAGCUUUUAGAAAUAACAUUAUGCCUUUAUAAGGUGUAUUCCAAGGAAGACAAAUAUGUAAACAUUCUUCAUGUCAUCAGAGUUUAUAGUAUUUUUCUGGAGUGGAAGGUUAUUAUUCCUAUUUUCCCAAAAAGUACCAGGGGGUCAGUGACUUCUUCCAGGUCAAUAGCUUCUGUCUGGAAUUACCAAGACCAUAACUUGAAUCACCUAUUGCAAAUUCCCUUUCUAGUCCAUAACAUUGUUGUGCAAAAUUGAAAUACUUAUGUGACACCAAAACAAAAACGAAAACCAAACAAACCCAAAAACCAAAAUCCCAAAACCCCCCAAAAAACUAACACAAAAAACUAAACUAAAAAACCUAAUAAAUCCUAAGUCAGGUGGAAACACUUCAAAUAGUUUCUGGAUGUGAGAGCUUCUCAGAAGCUAAUAAAGAUUCCUGGCUCUAUUGGAUGGAAUGCUAAGAAGCUAUUUUGGUUGGAUUGGGAACAUUUAUUAAUGUCUUCAUGUGAGCAGCAGUAAAAGUGUACUACCUAUUAAAAGUUACCUAUUUGCUUAUUUUGCCCACCAUUUUCAGAUAUGAGCUUCUGACAUUUCAACAAAACUAAUGACCAGCUUGUUUUGGGUAACCAGUUUCUUGCAGUUGAUUAUUAUCCCCCAGAAAUCCCUCUGUGCCAAGUCUUGUAGCCAAAACAGUUAUUUAACCCAAGUACAGUCAUGUGCCGAAUAAUGAUGUUUCAGCCAACAAUGACCGCAUUUAAGACAGUGGUCCCAUAAGAUUAUAACAGAACAUAAACAGAAACCUGAUAUGUAACACUUGAUAUUGGCACUGCAGAUUAAGCAGGGGAAAUGACCGAUAAUUCAGUUAAGGUUCUGAGACAUUUGGUUUUCCAUAUGAAAAAUAUGUAUAAAUUAAAUAUAUAUGUAUACAUAUACCAUCAAUGUUUGUGUAAGUAUACUCUGAUAUUUGCACAAUGACAAAAUGGUCUAAUGUCACAUUUCUCAGAACAUAUCUCCAUCAUUAAGCAACAUAUGCCAGGAAUAAUUAUGAAUAGGUAUAAUAACUGCAAAAAGUCAUGUAAAAUAGAUGGAACUGCCAGUGCUGAACAAAUGAAGAGGAUAAAUGAAUGGUUUCUAUGUAAAAGGUAAAUGAAUGUCAGUAAGAAAUAGCACUCUCAUGCUUCCAUUUGCCAGAAGUAUCACCUUUGGUUGGUUGUGGGUAAUGUCAAUUAUUGAAAUAAUUAAGUGAAUAUGGAAUCCAGAGACUAAAAUACUGAGCGAUCAAUCAGUGUGUAUGACAAACCCUUCUGUGUAUAGAAACAUAGAUUCUAUGGGAGGUGAAGGCAUGUCUGAGGCACAGCUAUGGUUUCAAAAGACUUUAUAGUUUGAUUUAUAAAGCAAUAUUUGAUACAGAAAUACCAGAACUUUAGAGCUGGAAUAAAAUAGAGGAAGUUUCUGUUUUUGUUUUGUUUUUUGACAUGGAGUCGUCUCACUCUGUCACCCAGGCUGGAUGGAGUGCAGUGGCGUGAACUCGGCUCACUGCAACCUCUGAGUUCAAAUGAUUCUCCUGCCUUAGCCACACGAGUAGCUGGAAUUAUAGGGGUGUGCCACCAUGCGGGGCUUUUAUUCUUUGUAUUUUUAGUAGAGAUGGGGUUUCACUAUGUUGGUCAGGCUGGUCUUGCACUCCUGACCUCAAGUGAUCCCCCACCUAGGCCUACCAAAGUAGGGAUUACAGGCAUGAACUAUCGCGCCUGGCCUAAAAUAAAAAGAAAUUGUAAAACUAGAAGAGAACUUAGAGAUCACCUAGCCCGAGAAAUUGUAAAACUAGAAGAGAACUUAGAGAUCACCUAGCCCGAGAAAUUGUAAAACUAGAAGAGAACUUAGAGAUCACCUAGCCUAAUACUCAUGGUUAAAGAGGUAAUUUAGUGAGAACUUAAAAUGCAAGCUAUAAUUUUAGCUUAUAUCACAGGCCCAUUCCUUCUCUUAUAUAUUUUUUAUUUUCCGCCUUCAUAUUGAGCAUGUGCCAGUUCAUUGAUGUUACCACUUCUCAAGCUAAAAGUAUCAUCUGCAUGUCACCCAGUGAUGGCAAUGGACCCGGUCACAGUGAUUCAAGGGUCCCCAAAAAGGGUGCUGUCCUUGUCCAUUGAUGACUGAGGAAGGGGUGCUUCUUUUCUGCCUAUUCUGACACCAUAUUAUCUGUGGUGGUACCAAAGCUACUGGACACUCCUGAUGGCAAGAGGUGUAAACCCAAAUGCAGAUGAAUGAAGGAAGAAAAAAGACAAUCAAAGCUGUGCUGUAAAGGAGACAGACAGCCCCCAACCCCCUGCCCUGAAAAGGAGAGCUAUAUUGUCAGCCACCCGAAAAAAGGCAUGACCAGUGGACUUCAGGAUCAAUGUGGUCAGAUGUCUUUUUUUUUUUUUAAGAGAUGGAAUCUUGCUGUAUUGCCCCGGUUGGAGUGCAGUGGCUAUUCACAGGCACUAUUAUAGCACACUAUAGCCUUGAUCUCCUGGUCUCAAGUUGCCCUCCUGCCUUAACCUCCUGGGUAGCUGGAACUACAGGCACAUGCCACCACACCCGACCAGAAUUUUUUUUUUUAACAGAGUCUCACCUUGUUGCCCAGGCUAGAGUGCAGCUUGUUUUAAGUGUUCUAUAGCUCCAUUAGUAUGAAAUAUCUGUGUGUAAAUUGAUAACGACAAAGCUAUUUUGAUUGACAAAGUAUCAGACUUUGGAUAAAAUCAUAAAUUAUAUAGAUAUCGCAAUCAAUUUCAAAUUCAUUUUGGCAUCAUAACUUUCUUAAGUUAGAAAGAACACCAUAUUUAGCAUAUAAUCUAUACAUGCAUUACCUGCAUUGUGGGGAUUUUAAGCAUGUCCAUACAUUCUUUGACACCUCUCUGUCCAAAAUGUGAAGUCUACUUCUCUAGCACCUGAG